GGUCCCGUGGUAAAGUGGUUAAUACGACACCCUCUCACGGUGUAGUCAGGGGUUCAAUUCCCCUCGGGACUACCA
rnacentral:tRNA from 1 species